rnacentral:rRNA from 1 species
AUUGAACGCUGGCGGCAGGCCUAACACAUGCAAGUCGCACGAGUGGCGGACGGGUGAUUAAUGUCUGGGAACCUGCCCGAUGGAGGGGGAUAACUACUGGAAACGGUAGAUAAUACAGCAUACCAUCGGAUGUGCCCAGCUGGGAUUAGCUAGUAGGUGGGGUAACGGUUCACCUAGGAGACGAUCCCUAGCUGGUCUGAGAGGAUGACCAGCAACACUGGACCUGAGACACGGUCCAGUCUCCUACGGUAGGCAGCAGUGGGGAAUAUUGCACAAUGGGAGCAAGCCUGAUGCAGCCAUGCCGCGUGUAUGAAGAAGGCCUUCGGGUUGUAAAGUACUUUCAGCGAGGAGGCGUUACUCGCAGAAGAAGCACCGGCUAACUCCGUGCCAGCCGCCGCGGUAAUUC